rnacentral:tRNA from 1 species
ACAUUGAUAGUAUACAAGUACAGCUGCCUUCCAAGCAGAAGGUCCUCAACAGGUCAGUGUA